CACCUUGAACCGCAGGCUCAAUGAGGCUAAAACAGUCACUUUUGUGUUAUGUGUGUUUUAUCAAAAUAGAAAGAGUCGAAGGUUGAUGAGAUGGUUGAGUGGAUAAAGGUGCUUGCUGCCAAGCCCGAGGACCUGGUGUCAGUCUCUGCAACACACAGGGUGCAAGGAGAGAAACCACGCUCACGUCUGCUCUCUGGUUUCCACACAGGGCCUGCGGAAUGCACAUGUGCCCCCUCCAACUUUAUCAAGAAAUGCUGAAUGUUAAAAUGAAAAGUAUAAAAAGAAAGGAGAGCGAUCCUGUUCACUGAGUGUGAGGCUCCAUCCACGAUUUUCCACAUGCUUCUCCUCUCAUGUGAUUCCAGGAACAGAGGAGAGAGGCCUUCUCUGUAAUGUUCGGCCGGUGGGACAAUGUGAGGACUCUGUCUGUUCACCCCCAGCCAAGGGGCUAUGUCUGUCUUCAGGACCACCUUCACCCUCUCAUCUCAGAAUCAUACAGUGCCCAUGGAAGAGGAAGAAGCAGAGGACGACGAAGCCAGUGGAGUUCUUGGCUCCCAGGGUCUGAACCUUGGGAGCUUUCUCAGUCUCUGGUGACCCCCACUCUGGCUUCUUCUCACCCCUGCAGGUGGCUGGACUUGCGCCAUGUCAUUAUAGGAGCAUUUCCCCCUCCAGCCCCCCAUAUUCCAUGUGACCUUCAAGUUCCUGGUGCCUUGUUCUCCCCGCCAUGAUGGACUCUACCCCAAAUCGUGAGCCAAAAUAAACCCUUGAUCCUUUGA